rnacentral:rRNA from 1 species
CCUACGGGCGGCAGCAGUGAGGAAUAUUGGUCAAUGGACGAGAGUCUGAACCAGCCAAGUAGCGUGAAGGAUGACUGUCCUAUGGGUUGUAAACCUCUUUUAUAAAGGAAUAAAACGAGGCACGUGUGCGUUUUGGCAUGUACUUGAUGAAUAAGGAUCGGCUAACUCCGUGCCAGCAGCCGCGGUAAUACGGAGGAUCCGAGCGUUAUCCGGAUUUAUUGGGUUUAAAGGGUGCGUAGAUGGGUUGUUAAGUCAGUUGUGAAAAUUUGCGGCUCAACCGUAAAAUUGCAGUUGAUACUGGCAGUCUUGAGUACAGUUGAGGUAGGCGGAAUUCGUGGUGUAGCGGUGAAAUGCUUAGAUAUCACGCAGAACCCCGAUUGCGAAGGCAGCUUACUAAACUGUGACUGACAUUGAUGCUCGAAAGUGUGGGUAUCGAACAGGAUUAGAUACCCUAGUAGUC